rnacentral:lncRNA from 1 species
CUAUCAUCAAGCAAUCAUCAACUUAUAUAAACUGUAUAGUACUAUAAUGAUUAAACAAACUUCCAUCAAAAUCAAAAUCCUAUAUUGAAUUGGACAUCCUUUAAAAAUUUAUUGCAACUUCUGGUUCUGUUGGUUAUAAUUUAAAAUUUCAUUUCUAAGAUGCGAAAUUUUUAUUUUGUUUUCACUUUGAUUAAACAAACUUCCAUCAAAAUCAAAAUCCUACAUUGAAUUGGACAUCCUUUAAAAAUUUAUUGCAACUUCUGGUUCUGUUGGUUAUAAUUUGUAAAAAUCUAGAUGAAAAGUUUCGAUCGGAUCAAUAAUUAUGUAAUCAAAGUGAAAACAAAAUAAAAAUUUCGCAUCUUAGAAAUGAAAUUUUAUAUUGUAAAUAAAUUUAUUUUGGUAUAAAUUUACCCAAUAUUCUAAUUUGACUUGAGAAUCAAUUAAUCAAAGAAUUAUAAAAAGAUAAAAGGAAAGAAUCAAAGAGAAUAAGGAAAGUGCUGGAGUCUAAGAUUAAGAAGGAACCCGAUUAUUUUCUAUGAAAGUGUUGGAGACUGAAUCAUAUAUUUUACCAAAAAUUUAAAAAAAAUAAAUAAAAAGAAAAAUCCUAUGAGAACCGUCUGGUUCCUAGCGAUUCCCACACUAGAACCGGGAACCGGACCGGAGCCGAUUGAUUCUUAAUAAUUUGUCCCGAAAUCAAAUAGUUUUUUAGAAGAUUUGAUGCCGAAUAGGCCAGUUUUAAACGGUUCCAGUUUGGUGGACGGGAAAAAAUGUCCACUUCUAGAUGUUUUUCAACAAUUUUACUACGAAUCCUACAAUUAUCAAAAUCAUAAGUGAGAGAAUAGAGUAGAGUACUACAAAAUCAUGCUGAUGUACGAAAAUGAUGAAUACCAAUAGCUUUCUAAUUUUCUAUUGAAUAAGAAGAAUAUCGAGACAUAAACAGGCAGCUCAAUAAAAAUACCAUCUUCAUAUUAAAGUACAAAAGUACUUAUAGUAAUACAAUUAAUGACUUUUCCAUUCAUAUAUCAUCAACUAAAUGCGACUACCAAUUGACAAUUCACUUAAAUAAGAGUGACUGUAGAUGACAUUAACUAAAAUUUAAAACUUAGCUCUUCGUUUACAUAUAGCAAUAGCAUGCAGAACAGUGUUCCCUUUGGGGUUAACGUAAGUCAACGAAUGACAAUAUUUCAAUAUACGUAUUCUACACAAAAUUCAUCUAUUAUAAACAACAAGAAAGAGUAGAGUUUUCAAUGAACUGUUCACUAUAUUUGCAAUUUCUGGGUAAUCUCUAAGAAUCAUUGCAACAAUUUACGACCGAUCACUCGUUAUUGCUUCAUGCAACAAAAUAUCUCAAUUUAUAAUUUUCAUUAAUAAAAGUUUUUGUUUUGUUUUCUUUUGUUUUUUGUUUUUGUUCCACCACCAGAUUCAACAUUCUAAUUUGAAUGUUUAGCCCAUGUUAUCAUUGUUGAUCAGACAACAAUUUUACCAUUUUUUACUGCAAUAUGAAGAGUUGAAUUUCCAUCGAAAUUAACUUAAAAGAGCGAUUAUUCAUGCAUUGAGGAUUUCUUUAUCGCAUUCUCGGAAAUCAUUGAAAUAUGCAACAAAGAAAAAUUGAGUAUUUUUAUUGGCGUCAAUUGAUUGCUAAAAUGUUGAAUAUGUACUCAAAGUUAGUGUUUUAAAAAAGCAAUGUCUAGGCGGGCCUAGGUGGCGGCGCAAAACGCCAUGCCUUGCGUUUUUUCACCCUUUUUAUUAUUUUUACUAUUUUUUGCUUUUUGUAUUUUUUUUGGGGCUUAACAUUUUUACGCUUAUUUUUCUUUAAUUAUUAAAUGAUUUUUAGAUUAAUUUAAAAUUUUAAAAUAUUAUUUAAAUAAGAAAAUGAUUUUUUACGCUUAGGCCGAAGCUUGGCCUCCACCAUAGGCCACGCCACACUCUAGACUUUUUAGAACACUGCUCAAAGAUCGACUUCUGGUGCAGCUGUGUACAAUAUGUGAUCUAUCUGCAUAAGUGUGAAACGAUAGGUU